AACGAACGCUGGCGGUAUGCUUAACACAUGCAAGUCGAGGGGCAGCGCGAUGUAGCAAUACAUUGGCGGCGACCGGCGCACGGGUGCGUAACACGUAUGGAACUUACCCUUUACUGGGAGAUAGCCCGGAGAAAUCCGGAUUAAUAUCCCAUAAUAAACGAAGUGGCAUCACUUUGUUUUGAAAGCUCCGGCGGUAAAGGAUGGCCAUGCGCACGAUUAGCUAGUAGGUGAGGUAACGGCUCACCUAGGCUACGAUCGUUAGGGGGCCUGAGAGGGUUAUCCCCCACACUGGUACUGAGACACGGACCAGACUCCUACGGGAGGCAGCAGUGAGGAAUAUUGCGCAAUGGAGGCAACUCUGACGCAGCCAUGCCGCGUGCAGGAAGAAGGCGCUACGCGUUGUAAACUGCUUUUAACCGGGAGAAACCCUCCGACGUGUCGGAGGUUGACGGUACCGGAGGAAUAAGCACCGGCUAACUUCGUGCCAGCAGCCGCGGUAAAGUCUGUACU
rnacentral:rRNA from 1 species